rnacentral:rRNA from 1 species
GACGAACGCUGGCGGCGUGCUUAACACAUGCAAGUCGAACGGAAAGGCCCUGCUUUUGUGGGGUGCUCGAGUGGCGAACGGGUGAGUAACACGUGAGUAACCUGCCCUUGACUUUGGGAUAACUUCAGGAAACUGGGGCUAAUACCGGAUAGGAGCUCCUGCUGCAUGGUGGGGGUUGGAAAGUUUCGGCGGUUGGGGAUGGACUCGCGGCUUAUCAGCUUGUUGGUGGGGUAGUGGCUUACCAAGGCUUUGACGGGUAGCCGGCCUGAGAGGGUGACCGGGCACAUGGGGACUGAGAGACGGCCCAGACUGCUACGGGAGGCAGCAGUGGGGAAUAUGGCACAAUGGGCGGAAGCCUGAUGCAGCAACGCCGCGUGCGGGAUGACGGCCUUCGGGUUGUAAACCGCUUUGGCCUGUGACGAAGCGGGAGUGACGGUAAUUGGUAAAGAAGCACCGGCUAACUACGUG